UACGUAGGGGGCAAGCGUUGUCCGGAAUUAUUGGGCGUAAAGAGCGUGUAGGCGGUCCGGUAAGUCGGCUGUGAAAGUCCAGGGCUCAACCCUGGGAUGCCGGUCGAUACUGCCGGACUAGAGUUCGGAAGAGGCGAGUGGAAUUCCCGGUGUAGCGGUGAAAUGCGCGGAUAUCGGGAGGAACACCAAUGGCGAAGGCAGCCCCCUGGGCUAACACUGACGCUCAUGCACGAAAGCGUGGGGAGCAAACAUG
rnacentral:rRNA from 1 species